rnacentral:rRNA from 1 species
UACGGAGGGUGCAAGCGUUGUCCGGAAUUAUUGGGCGUAAAGAGCCCGUAGGCGGUCUGUCGCGUCGGCUGUGAAAACCCGGGGCUCAACCCCGGGCCUGCAGUCGAUACGGGCAGACUAGAGUGCGGUAGGGGAGACUGGAAUUCCUGGUGUAGCGGUGAAAUGCGCAGAUAUCAGGAGGAACACCGGUGGCGAAGGCGGGUCUCUGGGCCGUAACUGACGCUGAGGAGCGAAAGCGUGGGGAGCGAACAGG